UACGUAGGGUCCGAGCGUUGUCCGGAUUUAUUGGGCGUAAAGAGCUCGUAGGCGGCUUGUCGCGUCGACUGUGAAAACCCGCAGCUCAACUGUGGGCUUGCAGCCGAUACGGGCAGGCUAGAGUUCGGUAGGGGAGACUGGAAUCCUGGUGUAGCGGUGAAAUGCGCAGAUAUCAGGAGGAACACCGGUGGCGAAGGCGGGUCUCUGGGCCGAUACUGACGCUGAGGAGCGAAAGCGUGGGGAGCGAACAGG
rnacentral:rRNA from 1 species